rnacentral:rRNA from 1 species
UACGUAGGGGCUAGCGUUAUCCGGAUUUACUGGGCGUAAAGGGUGCGUAGGCGGUCUUUCAAGUCAGGAGUGAAAGGCUACGGCUCAACCGUAGUAAGCUCUUGAAACUGUAAGACUUGAGUGCAGGAGAGGUAAGUGGAAUUCCUAGUGUAGCGGUGAAAUGCGUAGAUAUUAGGAGGAACACCAGUGGCGAAGGCGACUUACUGGACGGUUAAUGACGCUGAGGCUCGAAAGCGUGGGGAGCAAACAGGAUUAGAUACCCCGGUAGUCCCUGAGCGGGCU